CAUACCUUUAAAUAAUAAAAAAAACAAUAUAGUUUAUAUGUUAGUGUUACAAAUGGCAAAAGAUUUGCAUGGUGGGAUGUCUAGGAAAAAUAUGGGAACAAAUGGGUUAAAUGUGUCUCACAAAUAGGAGGGAAACAUGAAAACGGGAAAACCAAAUUUGAGGGGGAAAAAAACGAAAGACAGUACUACAGAUGUGGUCACACAGAUCACAUGGGGCGAGACCCAAAGAGUCCCGCACGUGGUCAACCGUGUCACAAGUGCAAUGGAAGGGACCAUUUCUCAAAGAUGUGUCAAAGUUGCAAACUUCCUGGUGCUUAUUGGUACAAUACAUCGCAAUGAAAUUGUGCCUCAAAAGAUUAGAGAAAUGUUUUUCUUAUAGUUGCACAUUUAUUCUUUGUACUUUACUUUUUAAUCAAAUAAUGCCAUUUUGGAGAAAUUAUUGGAAGGUGUGUGAAACUCAAUCUUUUUGUGCCCACUGGUUUCAGAAAAUGUUUGUUUCUGAAUAGAUGAGAAACCACAGGGACUCACGCUUCACCAUCUGGCAGUUUGACGGACUAAUCUGGGUUUGGCAGAUGGCAGGAAAACGCUAUCUGCUCGAUUGCAUAGUGCCAACUGUAAAGUUUCGUGGAGGGGAAGUAAUGGUCUGGGCUGUUUUUCAUGGUUCGGUCUAGGCCCCUUAGUUCCAGUGAAGGGAAAUCUUAACACUACAGCAUACAAUGACAUUCACGAUGAUUCUGUGCUUCCAAUUUUGUGGCAACAGUUUGGGGAAGGCCCUUUCCUGUUUCAGCAUGACAAUGCCCCCCGUGCACAAAGCAAGGUCCAUACAGAAAUGGUUUGUCGAGAUCAAAGUGGAAGAACUUGACUGGCCGGCACAGAGCCCUGACCUCAACACCAUCGAAUACCUUUUGGAUGAAUCGGAACUCGAGCCAGGCCAACAUCAGUGCCUGACCUCACUUAUGCUCGUGGCUGAAUCGUUGCCGAUCUUACUUUGCUACCUGACGGUUUUUUACUUUUUCAUUACCGUAUAUUUUUACUUUUUCCCUCACUCAACUUUUUUCAUUCAACUUUUUCACCCCGGAGGUUUUAUCUGGACAUGGUUCGUCAGGACUUCAAACAGCCGAAGCUAAGUAACAUUAACGUGAUGCCUUCUAAUUGCAGUCGUUGUACUUAUAAUAUACAGGAGAACGAUCGCCUUACGGCAAGGAUAGCUGUGCUACAAGCCCAGCUUCAGACGCGAUCGUUAGGCAAGGGUAAUUUCAGUGUAGGAAAGGAUGAAACAGCGUCUGUGCCACCAGUAAGUAAAGAUAGUAACGUUAGUAUAAACCCCCUCGCACGGUCCCCGCAGCCGGACAUCUUUCUCAUGGCUUCUGGAGG
rnacentral:lncRNA from 1 species